rnacentral:rRNA from 1 species
GAUGAACGCUGGCGGCGUGCCUAAUACAUGCAAGUCGAGCGAACAGACGAGGAGCUUGCUCCUCUGACGUUAGCGGCGGACGGGUGAGUAACACGUGGAUAACCUACCUAUAAGACUGGGAUAACUUCGGGAAACCGGAGCUAAUAUCGGAUAAUAUAUUGAACCGCAUGGUUCAAUAGUGAAAGACGGUUUUGCUGUCACUUAUAGAUGGAUCCGCGCCGCAUUAGCUAGUUGGUAAGGUAACGGCUUACCAAGGCAACGAUGCGUAGCCGACCUGAGAGGGUGAUCGGCCACACUGGAACUGAGACACGGUCCAGACUCCUACGGGAGGCAGCAGUAGGGAAUCUUCCGCAAAGGGCGAAAGCCUGACGGAGCAACGCCGCGUGAGUGAUGGAGGUCUUCGGAUCGUAAAACUCUGUUAUUAGGGAAGAACAAAUGUGUAAGUAACUAUGCACGUCUUGACGGUACCUAAUCAGAAAGCCACGGCUAACUACGUG